UGAGACGAAGAAGAAAAAAGAAACGAAAAAGAAAGAAGAACCCGUCGUCAUAUUGUCGUAUGCAACCCUUCUAAUAUGUUGUCUAAUAUGUUGUGUUU
rnacentral:ribozyme from 1 species